CCCCAGUAAAAGGCAGUUUUGACCCACACAUUUACAUAGAUGCCAUUGGGGUGCCUAGGGGGGUACCUAAUGAAUUUAAAGCUAGAGAUGAAGUAGCUGUAGGUUUUGAAUCACUUUUUACCAUAGUCACUGCCAACAAAAACCUUAAUUGGAUUAAUUCUAUCUAUUACAACCAACAGCGCUUCGUGAACUACACCAGGGAUGCCCUCCAGGGCUUGGCCGAGCAAUUACAGGCCACAUCCCAAAUGACCUUCCAGAACAGACUGGCCUUAGACAUGAUCUUAGCCGAAAAAGGGGGGGUCUGUAAAAUACUUCCCGACACUAUGACUUGUUGCACUUACAUUCCAGAAAACACAGGUCCUAAUGGUAAAGUCACUCUGGCCAUAGCUAAAUUAAACAGACUCUCAGAAGAGUUAAAGAGACACUCUGGAGUUACUGAUCCCUGGGAAAAAUGGUUUGGUUGGAUGACUGGUUGGCAGAGAGCUUUAGUCCAGAUUGGUAUUGCC